GUGUCAGCCGCCGCGGUAAUACGGAGGGGGCUAGCGUUGUUCGGAAUUACUGGGCGUAAAGCGCACGUAGGCGGCUUUGUAAGUCAGAGGUGAAAGCCUGGAGCUCAACUCCAGAACUGCCUUUGAGACUGCAUCGCUUGAAUCCAGGAGAGGUCAGUGGAAUUCCGAGUGUAGAGGUGAAAUUCGUAGAUAUUCGGAAGAACACCAGUGGCGAAGGCGGCUGACUGGACUGGUAUUGACGCUGAGGUGCGAAAGCGUGGGGAGCAAACAGGAUUAGAAACCCCGGUAGUCC
rnacentral:rRNA from 1 species